rnacentral:rRNA from 1 species
AGUGGCGCACGGGUGCGUAACGCGUGGGAACCUGCCCUUAGGUUCGGAAUAACUCAGAGAAAUUUGAGCUAAUACCGGAUAAUGUCUUCGGACCAAAGAUUUAUCGCCUUUGGAUGGGCCCGCGUUGGAUUAGCUAGUUGGUGGGGUAAAGGCCUACCAAGGCGACGAUCCAUAGCUGGUCUGAGAGGAUGAUCAGCCACACUGGGACUGAGACACGGCCCAGACUCCUACGGGAGGCAGCAGUGGGGAAUAUUGGACAAUGGGCGAAAGCCUGAUCCAGCAAUGCCGCGUGAGUGAUGAAGGCCUUAGGGUUGUAAAGCUCUUUUACCAGGGAUGAUAAUGACAGUACCUGGAGAAUAAGCUCCGGCUAACUCCGUGCCAGCAGCCGCGGUAAUACGGAGGGAGCUAGCGUUGUUCGGAAUUACUGGGCGUAAAGCGCACGUAGGCGGCUUUUUAAGUCAGGGGUGAAAUCCCGGGGCUCAACCCCGGAACUGCCCUUGAAACUGGGAAGCUAGAAUCUUGGAGAGGCGAGUGGAAUUCCGAGUGUAGAGGUGAAAUUCGUAGAUAUUCGGAAGAACACCAGUGACGAAGGCGACUCGCUGGACAAGUAUUGACGCUGAGGUGCGAAAGCGUGGGGAGCGAACAGGAUUAGAUACCCUGGUAGUCCACGCCGUAAACGAUGAUAACUAGCUGUCCGGG